GACGGAAGGUGCAAGCGUUGCUCGGAAUCACUGGGCGUAAAGGGUGCGUAGGCGGCCGUGCAAGUCUGGCGUGAAAGCCCCGGGCUCAGCCCGGGAAGUGCGCUCGAAGCUGCGCGGCUCGAGUGCCGGAGGGGAGAGUGGAAUUCCUGGUGUAGCGGUGAAAUGCGUAGAUAUCAGGAGGAACACCAAUUGCGAAGGCAGCUCGCUGGGACGUUACUGACGCUGAGACGCGAAAGCGUGGGGAGCAAACAGG
rnacentral:rRNA from 1 species